GGUCCUCUGACCUCUGCCAUGCCUGCGGGAGCCCCGAGCCUGCAGUGCACCCCUCCCCUGUGCAGCAAGGGCUCGGGCGCGGUCAGCGAGCGAGAUCGCGGGUCGGACUUUGAAAGUCACUUUUUGUCAGCGGAGGCACGUUUCAACACCGGCGUGUCCAGGAGACAGUUGGCUGCUGUGUUGUAAAGACGGAUUUAAUGAAGGUGUGCGUGUCCGGGCUUGCCCGGCGGCUGCUGGCUGUGUAGGCCGGCCUUGGACUGCGCAGGGGGACGGUCUGCGUGCAGCUCGCCCCGGCUUAACUUCACCAUGCCCUUGCCGUCCCGAACGCCCUCCAGACAGGAGCUCGCGACUCCCAGGGCAGAGGCCCACACACACCUGUGUGCAGUCACCACACCGGAGCCCGCGCCUGGCUUCCCGGCCGGCAGAGGACAGCACCAGCUCCAGGGGAGGCACGAUCCGGGGAGGCUGGGCGGCUGAGGCUGGGAACCUUGCUUUGUACAGCCUCUGGUCCUCAACGCCGCCACGGAAAUACCCAGUCUGCGCUCAGUUAAGAUCCUAUCUGUUCGAAGGCGUCAUCGCGGAGGGAGAAGUAAUUUCGGCGAGACUGUGAGCAGCGUGCCCAGGACGUCCUUGCCCACCUUUCUUCUCUUGUGGUCCAUCUUUUAUCGAGGCCUAUCUGCCUUCAGCAUCUGGCCCGGCUGCCAAUGCUAAAUAUCAUUCUGAUAAUAAUAACACGGUGGCUCUCCAAGCUCCCUUUCAUCCCAGGAGCCCAGAGCUUACGCACGUUAAUUAAUCAAGCUCCGAGCAGCGCCCGUGGAGGCAGACGUGCAGUGUCUGCUAGACGGUUCAAGUGGCUCCCUCCCGGGCUCGCCCUCUGCCGCUGGGCGCAGGCUGCCCUGCUGCCGGGUUCAGCCGGGCCCCAGAUGAAAGGCCCCUGGCCGAGAGCUUUCUGGGGUGGAGUGUUCUGCCAGCGCUUCACCUCGGCUUCUGCAAAGGCCUUUUGUGUGCGGUCCUAAGUGUGGACGGAUCCGCCCACGCCUCCAGCCUCCCCUGCUGGGCUCUCCUGCUGUGGGCCUGGUCUCUGCAGAGGAGACAGCAGCGACUCUGGAGGCCAGGCUGCUGCAGGUGGAAGCAGAGGCCCAGCAGAGGCCCGGCACACUCCCGAGUGCAGUGUGGGGCCGGUGAGCCUUGCCACAACGGGUCAGAGCCUCAUGGACACAGCACGUCUGCCCGGCCUCCUAAACACCUUCAGGCGCUGGCCACCGGGAGGCCGGGAGCCAAGGGUGCAGUGUGCUCUCAGCCUGUUCCCUCGUCUAGCCUGUGGACGUGUCCCCAUGAGUCCAGGUCAACAAUCUGCACGUUAUGGUUUAGAUGAAGGUCCCUGAAGCUCACCUGUGAGACAGGGCAAAGGUCUGGAGGAGAAGAGAUUGGGCUCUACCUUGACCUAAUCAGAGGAUGGACCCUGACGGGGCCUCUUCCUUGCGUGUUCCCGGGACAGUCACUCCAGGGUGACUCAGCAGGCAUAGCCGAGCACAGAAGACCCCUCUCUCGGUGGGGCCAGCAUGGAACUGAGGACACGUGUCACUGGUUGGGCAGGCCACCGCUGGACAAAGCACAGUGAGGGCAGAGGGCUGCCCGCUCAGCCUGUGGCCUCUGGACCUUCGCGGCAUUUCUCCUGAAGCCCGAUGCCUCCUGUGCUGUCGCCAGGAGGUGACCAGCUUUGCCAUGUCCUGCCAAGAGGCACUGAGCUGCCACAGGCCAAGCAGCAGCCCAAUCCAUCACGGAUGUGAACCUCUGAAAAUAGAACCUGAAACUGGGAAGACCGUACAUGCAGGUGAAGGUGCAGCUCAGGUCAGCCUGGUAAGCCUGGGUCUCCUCUGCAAGCUUGGCAGUCCCACAAAAUCUCUGGAACGGGGCUUUCAUUUCAGAUUGUGGGCCACUCCUGUGCACGAUCUAUUUUUAAAAAAUUUUUAAAUCUUAUUUGUCCUGAUUAGUUGUACAUGAUAGUAGAAUGCAUAUUACCCAGCUUUAAAGAAGAAUGAAAU